CAGUACCAUUCUAACAGCAUUUAGUCUUUCUACUGCAAACUAUUUAAGGCAAUACAAUAUUCUGUAAAAGACAAAAAAAAAAGUGCACCCAAUUUCAUGAGGAUUGUCUGGUUAGAAAAUGUAACUGAUCCCUUCCUUAGGUGCAAGUGAAAUUGAAGAGGGUUAGAGACCUAGGCUCUGAAACAUGGGCUCUAAUCUUGCUGUCCUUCACUCUGUGCUCUGUUACAAUUUUCCUCAUCGAUGAGUGUGAUUCAAUUUUCCAUAAGAUACAUUUUAUUUUGAAAAGGAAAUGAGUGUCCUCUCAAAGUAAAAUAUUGAGGAGCACUGAAAGUUGUCCUUUUUUUUUUCUUCUCUUCAAUUUCACUUUUGAUAAAACCAAACUGGGCACGUUUCUAAUUGGCUUUCCUAUUUUUAUUUUUAAAUUAUGUUUUACUGUUUGUUUGAUUUGUACAGAUUCUUUAUUAUCAUCGUUCUUUUCAGUAUGUUUGUAUUAAUUUGUAAGAAUAUGCAUCUUAAAAUGGCAAGUUUUCAAUAUUUUUACAACUCACUGGUGGUUUUCCGCAUUCUUUGUACACACAUGAAAGAAAACUUUUAUGCAAGGUCUUGUGUUUAAAGAGAGCUUUGCGAAUAUUUUGUAUAUUACAGUCUCACUCGGAACUGUUUUUUCCACACAUUUAAGGUGUAGUAUUAAUAGGUAAAACUGGCUUUCUAGAGAGAAUAAACUUACAUAUUUAUUUUUAGUCAUAUAAAAGUAGCAAUAUUCUUGGAGACUGAUAACCAUAGCGUUAAUACGCCCAUUAUGGUCAUUUAAAUUAGGGUUUAUUUCAGCAAACUUGCUGAAUUUUUGGAAGGAGAGAAAUACUGUAUUGGCAAAUUACUGUUACUUGAUAACAGUGUUUUAACAAGCAGCAAAGUUGUAAGUUAGUUUCAGUGCAUUAUCUACUUGUGUAGUCCUUUGCAAUAACAGUAGUGUUACAUGUAAUCUAUCUGGCCUACCUGUUUUAUACAGCUGACAUAUGGUGUUAAGAGCCAGGCUGUUGAAUGGAAUUUCUCAGUAGCAGCCUACAAUUGAAUAGCAAGUGGCAUAAAGCAUAUCCAUUCAGAAUGAAGUGCCUUAAAUAUAGCAGUAGUCUUUUUUGGACUAGCACUGACUGAACCAUAAUAUAGGAGACAGUUUCAAGAUGGUAUCUAUAGUCAAGAGGAACAUGGAGCAUGGUGCCUAUGUAGACAAUAUAAGAGCUUCCAAUUUUCCUUCAGAUAUUUUUAAUAUUAAAUAUAUUUUAGUGACAGAGUGCCAACUUCUUUCAUCAGGAAAUCUUAUUCAGGAGGGUUUUUUUUAAAAAAAAGAAAAUGAGUUUAAAUGUCAAAUACGAAUUGGUGGAUGGGUAUUGGAGGGUUCAAAAAGAAGGUGUGAUUGUCAGAUGUAUGAAUGGAUGGCUUCCGUGAAAAUAAUCAACUGCAUAGUUCCCAUGCACAUUGGGCAAUGAGAAUCCUUGGAAACACUGAUGAUGCUAUCAGUUUUAUAGCUUUAUUACUGAAGGGGGUAGGGAAAAUUAAUUCCCAUUCUUUCAAUCCCCUUAAUUGUAUAGCUCUUUUCCUAGUAUAGUGAUGCAAAUCUGCAUGAACAGCUAACUGUACCAUAGUGUUCAUUGAUACAAUCAUAGCAUUGUCUACUUUUCUCUUCAUAUUUAUAUGGGGGGAGGGGAGCUGGUUGCACAAGUCAAAGAUCGCGAUGGUGUGAUGCUUGUUUACUUUAGCUGAUUGUGAGAGUUCUUAAAAAUGGAGCAAGGUUGACUAGCCCCUGGCCCAGGGAAUAUGGCCAGGGCUAAGUGACCUUAUAGAAAGCUCCGUUGAGAGGAAGCAUGGCAUCUUGUACCACUGUCCUGACUUUCGC
rnacentral:lncRNA from 1 species